rnacentral:lncRNA from 1 species
AAACCUCUUACAUAUUUGACAAUCAGUUUCAAACCAUUCACAAGUUUGACAAAACUCAAUGUAUACAAUAUCAUAAAACUCCAAUCAACAUAACUUAACAUUGAAACUCAACAUUCAUGAGACAAGAAUGAAAACAAUAGAAUAUAGCAAAUACAAUCAUGCAAUUUCAGUUUAGGUCACCAUAGCUUCGCCUUAGCUUUCCUUUCCUGCUCUAGUCUUCUCUGUAAACUCUCUUCCCCCCCUUCUGGCCACAAUUAUAACUCCUUUAAAAACUCACCCUAACACAUC